GUGCCCUAGCACCCACACGCCGAUCCUCUUCUCCCCCUUAAGCCCUCACGCGCCGUUCCCCCUUGCGAGUUCCCGCAUGCAGCCGACGAUCUUCUCUUCUCCUCGCCCGAGCACCGCACAGCCGGUGACUUCUUCUCCCUUGAGCCAUAGCUGCCGUCUCUCCUCCUCGCACGAGCACAACACAACCAGCCUUUCCUCCCUCACGCGAGCACCAGAGACGUGCCACGGUACCCGAUCGCACGGCGUUGCUCAGGGCAUCGCUCGCCGGAGCCUUCUAAUCCCUCAACCUCUCAUCUACAACUCCGCCAGGUACACCUCUUCUCAGACCUCUGCUCUACACAACCGAUCUUCAGUGAAAGGGUGGGAAAUCCAAGCCCUAGCUUCUUCCCUCGUCGUUCCACUCGUGCGCUACAGCUCUGACCACCACUGCCCGCGUUGUUGUCCGACCGCCGGCCGAGACCUUCUCCCGAUCCAGCGAGAGGCUGCCCCGAUUUGGCCGAUCCUCUUUGUGCCAUUACCGAUCUCCACGGCCAUAGGCUCUAGUUGUGGCUUCGACGGGGAAGAAGGCCAGCUCUCGCCUGAUCCAGAGCCGUGCCCUAGCUUCCAUCGCAGUUGAUCUUCAAUGAUUGCCACACUCCUCUGCCUUGGGACGACACUAUAGCAGUGUUUUGGAUUUCUUCAGAGAGGAAGUUACAGAUCUGGUUAAAGGGUAAGUUUCAGCCAGCACUAUUUACCGACGAUCCACAGUUUAGUCCAUCAUUUCUGGAAGCCACUUUCCUCAGCUGUGAGUCCAUAAAGGAGGCUUCUUAUUAGGUUAUUUCAUCAGGUAACAGGUAAAGGAUUUAUGGAGUCAUCUGGAGAUCCUGUUCGCCAGUCCCAUGUCACACAGAGCUUCUCGUACCGUUAGUGCUUCUAUACGCUUUAUUUUGGUUUUGUACUUAUUCGUGUACUUGUAUCUUUUAUAUGGAGUUUGGCUUUGUAGUAUCUUGUAUUUCUUUUGAUGUGGUGGUUGUCGUGUCAAGCCGAGCCGGCUCGCAGUUGGUUAUAUUAUGGUUUUGUGAUUGUUAUUUGUGAUUUCCGCUAUGUUUUA